rfam:Anolis carolinensis chromosome 1, whole genome shotgun sequence.
UGUGGGGAUGAUGUGGUUGCAAUGUCUAUGACCUUAUUGAUAGCCAAAGUUGAUUCAGCUGAUCUGGCUGGUGAGAUGGGUAUUCCAUUCCACCCUCACCAUUCCAUGUGUGUCUCUCCUUAUGUUACACACUCAGUUAAAAGGGACAACCAUCCCCAAUGUAAGGAGUGUACUUUUCUUUGGCCGAGAAUAUACAAUAACUAUUCUUCUUUGGUAGAACUGUAUGGAAAUCUCAAGGUCAAUUUGUAGUGUUACCGUGUCAUAUGGCUCUUCCGCUGGGCUUCCCAUGCUAUGUGUGAAAAUCCUUUAGC